GUUGAAACACCGGUUCUCGUCCGAUCACCGAAGUUAAGCAACGUUGUGUCUAGUCAGUACCUAGAUGGGUGGCCGCUUAGGAAUACCAGGCCCUG